rnacentral:rRNA from 1 species
UACGUAGGGUGCGAGCGUUAAUCGGAAUUACUGGGCGUAAAGCGCGGGCAGGCGGCCCCGUAAGUCGGCCGUGAAAGCGCCGGGCUCAACUCGGCGAGGACGGGCGAGACUGCGGGGCUCGAGCAAGGCAGAGGGCGGUGGAAUUCCGGGUGUAGUGGUGGAAUGCGUAGAGCUCCGGAGGAACACCAGUGGCGAAGGCGGCCGCCUGGGCCUUUGCUGACGCUGAGCCGCGAAAGCGUGGGGAGCGAGCCGG